GAUGAACGCUGGCGGCGUGCCUAAUACAUGCAAGUCGAGCGAACAGACGAGGAGCUUGCUCCUCUGACGUUAGCGGCGGACGGGUGAGUAACACGUGGAUAACCUACCUAUAAGACUGGGAUAACUUCGGGACACCGGAGCUAAUACCGGAUAAUAUAUUGAACCGCAUGGUUCAAUAGUGAAAGACGGUUUUGCUGUCACUUAUAGAUUGAUCCGCGCCGCAUUAGCUAGUUGGUAAGGUAACGGCUUACCAAGGCGACGAUGCGUAGCCGACCUGAGAGGGUGAUCGGCCACACUGGAACUGAGACACGGUCCAGACUCCUACGGGAGGCAGCAGUAGGGAAUCUUCCGCAAUGGGCGAAAGCCUGACGGAGCAACGCCGCGUGGGUGAUGAAGGUCUUCGGAUCGUAAAACUCUGUUAUUAGGGAAGAACAAAUGUGUAAGUAACUAUGCACGUCUUGACGGUACCUAAUCAGAAAGCCACGGCUAACUACGUG
rnacentral:rRNA from 1 species